rnacentral:ncRNA from 1 species
GUACGUCUUCAGGGCGGGGCGAAAUUCCCCACCGGCGGUAAGCCGCAAUGCGGCAAGCCCGCGAGCGCCCGGCCAGCCUUGGCCGGGGUCAGCAGAUCUGGUGCGAUGCCAGGGCCGACGGUCAUAGUCCGGAUGAAAGAAGAUGUGC